UACGUAGGGUGCAAGCGUUUGUCCGGAAUUAUUGGGCGUAAAGAGCUCGUAGGCGGUUUGUUGCGUCGGCUGUGAAAAACCUGAGGCUCAACCUCAGGCCUGCAGUCGAUACGAGCAGACUAGAGUGUUGCAGGGGGAGACUGGAAUUCCUGGUGUAGCGGUGAAAAUGCGCAGAUAUCAGGGAGGGAAACACCCGAUGGCGAA
rnacentral:rRNA from 1 species